AACGAACGCUGGCGGCAGGCUUAACACAUGCAAGUCGAACGCAUCCUUCGGGGUGAGUGGCAGACGGGUGAGUAACGCGUGGGAACGUGCCCUUCAGUUCGGGAUAACCCAGGGAAACUUGGGCUAAUACCGGAUACGUGCGAGAGCAGAAAGAUUUAUCGCUGAAGGAUCGGCCCGCGUCUGAUUAGCUAGUUGGUGGGGUAAUGGCCCACCAAGGCGACGAUCAGUAGCUGGUUUGAGAGGAUGAUCAGCCACAUUGGGACUGAGACACGGCCCAAACUCCUACGGGAGGCAGCAGUGGGGAAUAUUGGACAAUGGGCGCAAGCCUGAUCCAGCCAUGCCGCGUGAGUGAUGAAGGCCUUAGGGUUGUAAAGCUCUUUCGUCCGGGACGAUAAUGACGGUACCGGAAGAAGAAGCCCCGGCUAACUUCGUGCCAGCCGCCGCCGACA
rnacentral:rRNA from 1 species